rnacentral:rRNA from 1 species
CCUACGGGAGGCAGCAGUGGGGAAUAUUGGGCAAUGGAGGAAACUCUGACCCAGCAACGCCGCGUGAAUGAUGAAGGUCUUCGGAUUGUAAAGUUCUUUUCUAAGGGAAGAAGAAAGUGACGGUACCUUAGGAAUAAGCCUCGGCUAACUACGUGCCAGCAGCCGCGGUAAUACGUAGGAGGCAAGCGUUAUCCGGAAUGACUGGGCGUAAAGGGUGCGUAGGUGGUUUGACAAGUUGGUAGCGUAACUCCGGGGCUCAACCUCGGCGCUACCGCCAAAACUAUUAGACUAGAGUGCAGGAGGGGUAAGUGGAAUUCCUAGUGUAGCGGUGGAAUGCGUAGAUAUUAGGAGGAACAUCAGGGGCGAAGGCGACUUACUGGACUGUAACUGACACUGAGGCACGAAAGCGUGGGGAGCAAACAGGAUUAGAUACCCGGGUAGUC